rnacentral:rRNA from 1 species
GCAAGACCAAAGAGGGGGACCUUCGGGCCUCUUGCCAUCGGAUGUGCCCAGAUGGGAUUAGCUAGUAGGUGGGGUAACGGCUCACCUAGGCGACGAUCCCUAGCUGGUCUGAGAGGAUGACCAGCCACACUGGAACUGAGACACGGUCCAGACUCCUACGGGAGGCAGCAGUGGGGAAUAUUGCACAAUGGGCGCAAGCCUGAUGCAGCCAUGCCGCGUGUAUGAAGAAGGCCUUCGGGUUGUAAAGUACUUUCAGCGGGGAGGAA